GGCCCUGUAGUGAAGUUCAUGAUGAGUUGCAAGCUCGUUGAUGUGUACUGAGGUGCACCGGGGUCU
rnacentral:tRNA from 1 species